UUGUGUCCUGGCAGGAAGCCUUUUUACCCUUAAGCCAGCUGCCUGAUUUUGUCUUUAAUUUGAAAAUCAGAAGUAUGGAAUAUCUAAUGCACGUGUUUUCAAAACAAGUACUUAGAAGUGCAAAGUGAACCUUCUUACUUAGUGAAAAAUGACCCCAUGCAUCACUACACACUGGGAGAUGGCUGACUGAAAAACACUAAAGACCCUGAAACAUUCUGGUGUUCACCUACCUAAAUGUUAGACAGAAAUUUGUCCUUGCUGUACAGAAAGCCAACGGCCUCCUGGAUUGCAUUAGGAAAAAUGCUGUCAGCAGUUUGAAGGAGGUGAUUCUUCUCUGGUAGGACAUACUUGGAGUACUGGAUUUAGCACUGGGCUCCUCAAAGCAAGAGAGACGGAAGAAAUUCCAGCAAAGAGCCACAAAGAUAUGAAGGGACUGGAGCAUCUCACAUAUGACUCUUCAGACUGGAGAAGAAAGCUCUCAGAGGGGAUCUUAUCAAUUCACUAAGCAUAAGUUCAGAAGGUAGUGAAGAAGACAAAGCCAGACUCUUCUCAUGGUGUCCAGUGUCAGGACAAGCAGCAGUAGACAAAUUCAG
rnacentral:lncRNA from 1 species